GCGCUAUCUGCAGUCGAGGGGCAUCGCAGGUAGCAAUACUGGGCGGCGACCGGCAAACGGGUGCGGAACACGUACGUAACCUUCCUUUAAGUGGGAGAUAGCCCGAAGAAAUUCGGAUUAAUACCCCAUAAGAUCAUAGAGUGGCAUCACUUAGUGAUUAAAGAAUUUCGCUUAAAGAUGGGCGUGCGGCUGAUUAGGUAGUUGGUGAGGUAACGGCUCACCAAGCCAACGAUCAGUAACUGGCGUGAGAGCGCGACCAGUCACACGGGCACUGAGACACGGGCCCGACUCCUACGGGAGGCAGCAGUAAGGAAUAUUGGUCAAUGGACGGAAGUCUGAACCAGCCAUGCCGCGUGAAGGAUGAAGGUCCUCUGGAUUGUAAACUUCUUUUAUAUGGGAAGAAACCACUUUUAUCUAAAGGUGUUGACGGUACCAUAGGAAUAAGCACCGGCUAACUCCGUGCCAGCAGCCGCGGUAAUACGGAGGGUGCAAGCGUUAUCCGGAUUCACUGGGUUUAAAGGGUGCGUAGGCGGAUUGGUAAGUCCGUGGUGAAAUCUCCGAGCUUAACUCGGAAACUGCCAUGGAUACUAUUAGUCUUGAAUAUUGUGGAGGUUAGCGGAAUAUGUCAUGUAGCGGUGAAAUGCAUAGAUAUGACAUAGAACACCAAUUGCGAAGGCAGCUGGCUACACAAAUAUUGACGCUGAUGCACGAAAGCGUGGGGAUCAAACAGGAUUAGAUACCCUGGUAGUCCACGCCCUAAACGAUGAUUACUCGACAUUUGCGAUAUACAGUAAGUGUCUGAGCGAAAGCAUUAAGUAAUCCACCUGGGAAGUACGACCGCAAGGUUGAA
rnacentral:rRNA from 1 species